rnacentral:rRNA from 1 species
AGAGUUUGAUCCUGGCUCAGAAUGAACGUUGGCGGCAUGGAUUAGGCAUGCAAGUCGAGCGAGAAGUUUAAGUUUGACGCUUCGGUUGAUUUCUUAAAUGGACAGCGGCGCAAGGGAGAGUAACGCGUAGUUAUCUGCCCCAAGGUCCGGAAUAGCCUCGGGAAACUGAGGGUAAUACCGGAUAAUAUCCCCGGAUCAAAGGUGUGAUUCCGCCUUGGGAGGAGACUGCGUUGUACUAGCUUGUUGGUGGGGUAAUGGCCUACCAAGGCGAUGAUGCAUAGCGGGCGUGAGAGCGUGGCCCGUCUCACUGGGACUGAAACACUGCCCAGACACCUACGGGUGGCUGCAGUCGAGAAUCUUCGGCAAUGGGCGAAAGCCUGACCGAGCGAUGCCGCGUGCGGGAUGAAGGCCCUCGGGUUGUAAACCGCUGUCAGUUGGGAGGAAGGCUCCGUGAAGAGCGGAGCUUGACCUAUCUUCAGAGGAAGUCCGGGCUAAGUUCGUGCCAGCAGCCGCGGUAACACGAACCGGACAAACGUUAUUCGGAAUUAUUGGGCUUAAAGGGUGCGUAGGCGGCGCGGUAAGUGAGGUGUGAAAUCCCACGACUCAAUCGUGGAACUGCGCUUCAUACUGCCGUGCUAGAGGGAGACAGAGGUAAGCGGAACUGAUGGUGGAGCGGUGGAAUGCGUUGAUAUUAUCAGG